AUUGAACGCUGGCGGAAUGCUUUACACAUGCAAGUCGAACGGCAGCACGGGGCAACCUGGUGGCGAGUGGCGAACGGGUGAGUAAUACAUCGGAACGUGCCCAAUCGUGGGGGAUAACGUAGCGAAAGUUACGCUAAUACCGCAUACGAUCUACAGAUGAAAGCGGGGGAUCGCAAGACCUCGCGCGAAUGGAGCGGCCGAUGUCAGAUUAGGUAGUUGGUGGGGUAAAGGCACACCAAGCCAACGAUCUGUAGCUGGUCUGAGAGGACGACCAGCCACACUGGGACUGAGACACGGCCCAGACUCCUACGGGAGUCAGCAGUGGGGAAUUUUGGACAAUGGGCGCAAGCCUGAUCCAGCCAUUCCGCGUGCAGGAUGAAGGCCUUCGGGUUGUAAACUGCUUUUGUACGGAACGAAAAGGCUCUGGUUAAUACCUGGGGCUCAUGACGGUACCGUAAGAAUAAGCACCGGCUAACUACGUGCCAGCCGCCGCCGUAACAC
rnacentral:rRNA from 1 species